UGGCGACCGGCGCACGGGUGAGUAACGCGUAUCCAACCUGCCCUUUUACUAUGGGACAGCCCGUCGAAAGGCGGAUUAAUACCGUAUGUUGUCAUGUUGAUGCAUAUUUUCAUGACCAAAGGCUUCGGCCGGUAAAGGAUGGGGAUGCGUCUGAUUAGCUUGCCGGCGGGGUAACGGCCCACCGGGGCGACGAUCAGUAGGGGUUCUGAGAGGAAGGUCCCCCACAUUGGAACUGAGACACGGUCCAAACUCCUACGGAAGGCAGCAG
rnacentral:rRNA from 1 species